CAGUGUGACAAAUGGCAUGUGGAACUUAUUCCCGCUGAAGCAGUGUUCCCGGGGAAACGCUUUGAGUGUAACUCUGUUCCCAGGCCUGUGUGUGUGUUUGUUGCUGUGACAACCCCAAAUGAUGGAUUGGCAACAGGUGUGGGGGAUUUACUCAGAGUUUGCGUGAGGCCUCAUCAACAGUGGAGAGGAUAAAAAGCAAGAGAGAGAGGUGGUGCGGGUGGUUUUUCUCCCUUGUGAAAAGUCGUUUUAUUGGGUGGUAAUAGUGGCUGGAGGACGGGUGAAUGAAGUGGAAAGUGUUGCUUUGCUGAGGGAUUCGAGGACAACAGAAGGAGAGUGAAAUACCCUGUUUGCAUUGGAGAGGAGCUAAGUAACUGAGAACUGAGUCUUGUAAUUGCACACGUUUGACACUGAAUUGGAUGUGGUUUGGAGUGUUUGGAUCACGAUCAUAAAUAUCACUGAGUGGAUUGUAUUGAUUCAUUACCGAUCUCUUACCUCUCCCUCCUCUAUAAAUGGUGAUGUGAACUCUGCCUGUGACUGUGAAGAAAAACAUCUCAGAAUAUCCUCAGCGGCAGUGAGGAUUGAGCCCUCCCCCUUCCCUUCGGACAGAAACCCGAAUGUGAGUGCUGGCUUUAAAUUGCACGUCGUGAAGUGAGUUUGCAGUGGCUAAAAUUGAUGUUUUCCCCCACAAUAUAUGUUUGAAGUGGAAUUGUCGUGUGUGUGUGUAAGCUACAUUCCUGUUUGCCAUGCACUCUCUAUGUGUCAUGAGGGCUGACUGUCAAUAGUAAGAGUCCUGCGACACUGAUUUGUUCCAACUGUCUGGAUGUUGAGGAUUUAUCAUCUGGGAUGUGAAUUAACCCCUCUGUUGUGCUAAUAGGAGAAGAGAUGCCCUGUUGAAAUAUUUACUAUCUGCCUCAGAAAAGCUCUGUGCAACCUGUUGACUUCGAGUCUGCUGUAUCCCUGCCAUUCGACUGUAUGGUGAGAGGUGUUCGCUCCUUCCAAUACAUGUGAAUUGUAUACUUGCCUGAAACAUCCAUUCUGUCUGUCUCAGAAGAAGCCCCAUUCAGCCUGUUGACUUCGAGUCUGCUGUAUCCCUGCCAUUCAACUGUAUGGUGAGAGGUGUUCGCUCCUUCCAAUACAUGUGAAUUGUAUACUUGCCUGAAACAUCCAUUCUGUCUGUCUCAGAAGAAGCCCCAUUCAGCCUGUUGACUUCGAGUCUGCUGUAUCCCUGCCAUUCAACUGUAUGGUGAGAGGUGUUCGCUCCUUCCAAUACAUGUGAAUUGUAUACUUGCCUGAAACAUCCAUUCUGUCUGUCUCAGAAGAAGCCCCAUUCAGCCUGUUGACUUCGAGUCUGCUGUAUCCCUGCCAUUCAACUGUAUGAAGAAGCCCAUAUUCAGCCUGUUGACUUCGAGUCUGCUGUAUCCCUGCCAUUCAACUGUAUGGUGAGAAGUGUUCGCUCCUUCCAAUGCAUGUGAACUGUAUACUUGCCUGAAACAUCCAUUCUGUCUGUCUCAGAAGAAGCCCCAUUCAGCCUGUUGACUUCGAGCCUGCUGUAUCCCUGCUAUUCAUCCGUAUUGUGAGAAGUGUUCGUUCCUUCCAACGCAUGUGAACUGUAUACUUUGUCUGAAGCAUCCAUUCUGUCUGUUUCAGUAGAAACCCUGCACAGCCUGUUGACUUAGAGUUUGUUGCAUCCUUGUGGCCCACCUGUGCUGAGAGAGGUGACUGUCCUUUGUCACGAACGUGAGAGGGGCACGCUUUGUCUGGAAUAUCCACUCUGACGGUGUCGGGAGAAGCCACCUUACUGUAAGACCGUGCACCUGCCGUAUACGUACUUGACUGAUAUCAUUCGCCUCAAAUUCCGUACCUGUGGAAGAAGGAAGGAAGGCUGGAAUUACAUACUUACCGGAGGAGACUUACCGGACCCCUCACUUGCCAAACACAUCCCCACCUCAAGGCUGUGUAUCUGCCGUGUACGGACCUGACCGAUAUCCAUCCGUCCCAAAUUCUGCAUCUGUGAAGAAGGGAAGGGAGUUUGGAAGUAUUUAAUUACCAGAGGAGACUUACCAGACUGCGGGCUUGCCGAUUGUAUUCCCACCUGUGAAAUACCUACUUGACCACCCAUCUGUCCAUCUAUUGCGGGGCCCGCACAGAGGAAGAGGGCGGGAGAGUCCCCGGUCGCUGCAUUGUUUACCUUCAAGCCCUGAGGGUAACAAAGAAGAUUUUAGUUUAGGAUUCCCAAUUUGUUUUUACUUCAAAAUAAAACUUGUUAAAUUUA